rnacentral:rRNA from 1 species
GCCUGUUUAACAAAAACAUCGUCUUUUGGGUUAAAUAAAAGGUCUGGCCUGCCCACUGUGAAUGAAGGGCCGCAGUAUUUUGACUGUGCAAAGGUAGCAUAAUCAUUAGUCUUUUAAUUGGAGGCUGGUAUGAAUGGUUGGAUGAGGUAACGGCUGUCUCACACAGGCAGAGUAGAAUUUAGCUUUUCAGUUAAAAGGCUGAAAUAAAAUUAGAGGACGAGAAGACCCUAUAGAUCUUUAUAGGGCUAUUUAGUAUACUAAGAUGAGUUAUCAUACUAUAAAAAUCUUAUUUGGUUGGGGUGACAAGGAAAUAAAUGAACUUUCUUAUAUAUAACAUGGGUGAGUGAGUAGGGGAUCCAUUAUGAGUGAUUUUAAGAGUAAGUUACCUUAGGGAUAACAGCAUAAUCUUCUUGGAGAGUUCUAAUCGAUAAGGAGGGUUGUGACCUCGAUGUUGGACUAAGAUUUAAUCCUGGUGUAGCAGUUGGGAAUAAAGGUCUGUUCGACCUGUAAUAUCUUACAUGAUCUGAGUUCAAACCGGAGCUCC